rnacentral:tRNA from 1 species
UUCGAUGUAGCUCAGCGUGGUAGAGCGCCCGGCUCUUAACCGGGUGGACCCUGGUUCGACCCCAGGUAUCGAAG